rnacentral:rRNA from 1 species
UGGGGAAUAUUGCACAAUGGGGGGAACCCUGAUGCAGCGACGCCGCGUGGGUGAGGAAGUACUUCGGUAUGUAAAGCCCUAUCAGCAGGGAAGAAAAUGACGGUACCUGACUAAGAAGCCCCGGCUAACUACGUGCCAGCAGCCGCGGUAAUACGUAGGGGGCAAGCGUUAUCCGGAUUUACUGGGUGUAAAGGGAGCGUAGACGGCGUGCCAAGUCUGAUGUGAAAGGCCGGGGCUCAACCCCGGGACUGCAUUGGAAACUGGCAUGCUGGAGUGCCGGAGGGGCAAGCGGAAUUCCUAGUGUAGCGGUGAAAUGCGUAGAUAUUAGGAGGAACACCGGUGGCGAAGGCGGCUUGCUGGACGGUAACUGACGUUGAGGCUCGAAAGCGUGGGGAGCAAACA